rnacentral:tRNA from 1 species
UGUCUCAGAUGGUAAAGAAUCUGCCUGCAAUGCAGGAGACCCAGGUUUGAUCCCUGG